UGGGGAAUAUUGGACAAUGGGCGAAAGCCUGAUCCAGCCAUGCCGCGUGUGUGAAGAAGGCCUUCGGGUCGUAAAGCACUUUAAGUUGGGAGGAAGGGCUCAUAGCGAAUACCUGUGAGUUUUGACGUUACCAACAGAAUAAGCACCGGCUAACUUCGUGCCAGCAGCCGCGGUAAUACGAAGGGUGCAAGCGUUAAUCGGAAUUACUGGGCGUAAAGCGCGCGUAGGUGGCUUGAUAAGUUGGAUGUGAAAUCCCCGGGCUCAACCUGGGAACUGCAUCCAAAACUGUCUGGCUAGAGUGCGGUAGAGGGUAGUGGAAUUUCCAGUGUAGCGGUGAAAUGCGUAGAUAUUGGAAGGAACACCAGUGGCGAAGGCGACUACCUGGACUGACACUGACACU
rnacentral:rRNA from 1 species